rnacentral:misc_RNA from 1 species
CCCAACUAUCCCUAUUAAUCAUUACGGUGAUCCUAGAAACCAACAAAAUAGAAUCGGAUGUCCUAUUUCAUUAUUCCAUGCUAAUGUAUUCAAGCGUUAGCCUGCUUUAAACACUCUAAUUUUUUCAAGGUAACAGUCCUAAUUUCCCACAACAUCAAAUAAAUGACAUCAUGGUUCGUCAGAAGGUAGGAAUCAAUAAUACCAGUACGUACAAUAGCACGACCAGUAAAUUAAUCCCGAAAUUCAACUACGAGCUUUUUAACUGCAACAACUUUAAUAUACGCUAUUGGAGCUGGAAUUACCGCGGCUGCUGGCACCAGACUUGCCCUCCAA